ACUUCAAGGUCAGUGGCAGGAGAUGUGGGGAAAGAAGCAAGAGGUGGGAGUAACUGGAGGAAGGGGCCAUGAAAUAAACACUGCCCAAAGCCUCAAGAAGCUGACAUUGAGGGAACUAGUGGAAGUUUCAACAUACAGUGGAUCAUCUUCUCUGUGUGGUAGGAAUAAAAAGCAAGCAGUUCCUGGCCCGUGCGAGUCCAGUUAGGGGUGUCUGCCUAGCAGCAUGUUGGCACCAGCAUUGAAGGAAGUGAUGGGCUUCCGCUCCAGGCUCCCAUGAUGGAUGGAAUCCUAAGUGAGUCAAAAUUUCAAUUCAUUUCUCUGCUCAGUCACUUUUUAAACAAUGCUGGCAUCUACUUUUGCUGGACACCAACAUUCUCCAUGAUGUUUUAAAAGCAGAAGUCAAUUUAGUUACUGAGAGGCUGCAGUCCUUCUCUUCAGCUGGGGAAGAAAUCCCCUGGAAUGUGAGCAAUCGACAUCUCCUUCUACCACUAGGGGCUACCAUGGUGAAGUGAAUGAUAAAGAGAAGAUUACAAAUUUAUUGUUGCUUUAAAUGCUCAGAUUAUUGUCAAUCUGCAGAAACAAUACCACAAGGACAAAAACAAUUUGCCCUCUAUCAUCUUAUUUUUAUAAUAAUGUUCUUUAAUGAAGCCAAAACCUCCCUGCUGUGACCUUAUUAUGUUUUUCAACAUCAGUGAGAAAUAGAUUCCUCUGAAUUGUAAGAGAGCUCGUGAAACAGCAGGGAGAUUGAAAUAGAGGAUCAAUUACUUUUUUCCAGUAAUUUUGAACUUGAAAUGGCUAUAGCACAGCCUAUGUAGACAAGAAGACAAACUAGCUUACUGAAAAGCUGUGUACAAAUUAUACAGAUCACAGAAAGCUGAGGUAAACAAACUGUGUUGUUUUCGACUAUCUUUCAACAUGAUUACACAGUGUCCCUUUAAAGAGCAAGUGCUCAAGAUUCUGUUGUAGAAGAAGCAAGCAAAAACUGAAAACGGAAUUUGUCACCAAUUUAAAUGCAGAGGGAUAUACAGACUAUAGACCGACAACAGUUGGAGCCACGACGCAGGCUGUCAGAAAUAUGUAGUAAUUGAAUACCUUACCAAACCCUUCUCAAAAAUUCUGUUGUGAAGGAAAAAAUGACGGAAGAAAUGCUGUAAGAAAUUGUCCCAUCAAUUCCCUUAGAUACUCUACAUGUUCUGUUUAAAUGAAGCCUGAACUAUACUUGGAAUCAUGACAUAUAUAACAUUAUAAUAAGCUGCUCUAUUGAAAUCCUUACCACAUAUUGCUAUAAAAGUGUGCUUGAAUAUUUUCCACAUAAUACAAAAUGUGCUUUUUGUGAGGGCCAAUGGGAUUAAUUUCUCCCAAGCCUAAAUGCCAGAUGGCAUUCUGUUCCCUGUGAGAAACAGAUGUUUUUAUAUUAUGGACACCAUAUAUCACAUAAUUGAUGUUUCUCUCUUUGAGUAAGCUACCAGGGUGCCCAAAACCAAAUUUAACCAUGGUUCAGCAAAAUAUCCAAGACCUUAUGAUAUGGGUGGAAAGUGCUAACCUCAAAUAGUGACUUUCUCUCCUACUCUUUUUGAUAUAUUGCUUUGCUUAUUUUUUUCUCUGGUGCUCAUGUUUCUUUCUAAGCAGCUUCAAGUCCCAUUGAAAAUUAGUGGGGUAUGAGUAGUUUCACAAUAAACAAAGGCAUUGUCUUAUUUAAAUGUUGACCAUAUGAAGCCAAAAUUUUCUCAACUUUGAAUGGUUUUCUAGCUAGAUGAAAGGUGAGGAUAUAAAUUCAGAAGUAUAAAUUUAAAAACAGUAACCAAGUAAACAGAAGAUGGCAUGGAAAUUAAAAACAAAAGUAGCUGUAAAAUCUGAUUUGCAGUUUGAGGCAUAUAUAUGUGAUCCCCAAAAAAAGAAGAGAGUGAGGAAGAAGCAGAAAACUGGGUUGUUACUUAAAAAUAGGAAGGAAGAGUCACGAUCGAAAGGAAGAGACCAGGGAAUUCUAGUGCCCAGCCUCCGAGAAGACCCAUUGAGGGGAGAAUGUCACUUGACUGAAUUAUUCCACAUCUUAUUUCCUGAAGCCAUGCUUGUGAUUGUCAACACUUCACCUAAAAGCCACCAGGCGUGAUGCUUCCAUUUGGACCAUAGGGAUGGGUGAUACACAAAGCAAGGUGGGCAACAGAAUUAAAGUUGUAAUUAGUGGGCUGACUGAAUUGUAUUAAGCACUUAAAAUGCCUGUUCCAAGACAGAUACGACAGGGUGGUGGAGUGGAAAGUCUCUCUACCAAACCCCCCCCGUGGUAAUGAGAAUGACUGUCUCUGACUCUUUCCUUCUCCCACCCAGAGCUACUCCUCUCCCAUCUUGGAAUGGGAGCCUUCGUAGAGAUGAGAGAGAUGUAGACUCCAGGCUCCAUCCCUGUAAAAUGACGUGCAACCAACUGGGUACCCCUUCAACCAUGGGAGUUUUAAAACAGAGUUGGAGAUAGAACAAGGGAAUUAUCCAAGGUUAAUCGUCUAUGCUUAACAAUGGAAGCAGUGUGGUCUCGUGGAAAAAAACCAAUUUUUUAGUCUGCUAAGAGUUGUAGUUUUCUCUUUUUUUGCCAAAGCAGAUUUGCUCUGAGCUAACAUCUGUUGCCAAUCUUCCCCUAUUUUUUGUUUGUGGGUCACCACCAUAGCAUGGCUGAUGAGUGGUAUAGGUUUGCACCUGGCAUCCAAAGCUGUGAACCAUGGCUGCCAAAGCAGAGGAUGCAGAACUUGACCACUACACCACUGGGCUGGCCCCCUGAUAAGAGUUUUUAUGGUGAUUCUGUCACUCCUUUUUGAAUGUCCUUGGUCACUUAACCUCUUUUGACUUCACUUCCACAUCCUUAGAGAAGGAUAAAUGAAAUGUGGAAAUCGUCAAGCAUACUAUCUAGCAGAGAAUAUGUCCAUAAGAAAAAAACAGAUCUUUCACUCUUUCUAACUCUAAUCCAUAAUUUUCCAGCUUACCAGAUUUCCUGAUU
rnacentral:lncRNA from 1 species